AUUGAUUUUAUGCUUGCAUAAAUGAUUUUUGGAUUCGGAGCGAGUGGCGAACUGGUGAGUAACACGUGGGUAACCUGCCCCGAAGCGGGGGAUAACAUUUGGAAACAAAUGCUAAUACCGCAUAAUUAGUUGGAACCGCAUGGUUCCAACUUGAAAGAUGGCUCUGCUAUCACUUUGGGAUGGACCCGCGCCGUAUUAGUUAGUUGGUGAGAUAAAAGCCCACCAAGACGAUGAUACGUAGCCGACCUGAGAGGGUAAUCGGCCACAUUGGGACUGAGACACGGCCCAGACUCCUACGGGAGGCAGCAGUAGGGAAUCUUCCACAAUGGACGAAAGUCUGAUGGAGCAACGCCGCGUGAGUGAUGAAGGGUUUCGGCUCGUAAAACUCUGUUGUUAAAGAAGAACAAGUGUUAGAGUAACUGUUAACACUUUGACGGUAUUUAACCAGAAAGCCACGGCUAACUACGUGCCAGCAGCCGCGGUAAUACGUAGGUGGCAAGCGUUGUCCGGAUUUAUUGGGCGCAAAGCGAGCGCAGGCGGUUUUGUAAGUCUGCUGUGAAAGCCCUCAGCUCAACUGAGGAAGUGCAGUGGAAACUACAAAACUUGAGUACAGAAGAGGAAAGUGGAACUCCAUGUGUAGCGGUGAAAUGCGUAGAUAUAUGGAAGAACACCAGUGGCGAAGGCGGCUUUCUGGUCUGUUACUGACGCUGAGGCUCGAAAGCAUGGGUAGCGAACAGGAUUAGAUACCCUGGUAGUCCAUGCCGUAAACGAUGAAUACUAGGUGUUGGAGGGUUUCCGCCCUUCAGUGCCGCAGCUAACGCAUUAAGUAUUCCGCCUGGGGAGUACGACCGCAAGGUUGAAACUCAAAGGAAUUGACGGGGGCCCGCACAAGUGGUGGAGCAUGUGGUUUAAUUCGAUGCUACGCGAAGAACCUUACCAGCUCUUGACAUCUUCUGCCAACCUAAGAGAUUAGGCGUUCCCUUCGGGGACAGAAUGACAGGUGGUGCAUGGUUGUCGUCAGCUCGUGUCGUGAGAUGUUGGGUUAAGUCCCGCAACGAGCGCAACCCUUAUUAUUAGUUGCCAGCAUUUAGUUGGGCACUCUAGUGAGACUGCCGGUGAUAAA
rnacentral:rRNA from 1 species